rnacentral:rRNA from 1 species
AGAGAAUACCAAGGCGCUUGAGAGAACUCGGGUGAAGGAACUAGGCAAAAUGGUGCCGUAACUUCGGGAGAAGGCACGCUGACACGUAGGUGAAGUGAUUUACUCACGGAGCUGAAGUCAGUCGAAGAUACCAGCUGGCUGCAACUGUUUAUUAAAAACACAGCACUGUGCAAACACGAAAGUGGACGUAUACGGUGUGACGCCUGCCCGGUGCCGGAAGGUUAAUUGAUGGGGUCAGCGCAAGCGAAGCUCCUGAUCGAAGCCCCGGUAAACGGCGGCCGUAACUAUAACGGUCCUAAGGUAGCGAAAUUCCUUGUCGGGUAAGUUCCGACCUGCACGAAUGGCGUAAUGAUGGCCAGGCUGUCUCCACCCGAGACUCAGUGAAAUUGAACUCGCUGUGAAGAUGCAGUGUACCCGCGGCAAGACGGAAAGACCCCGUGAACCUUUACUAUAGCUUGACACUGAACAUUGAGCCUUGAUGUGUAGGAUAGGUGGGAGGCUUUGAAGUGUGGACGCCAGUCUGCAUGGAGCCGACCUUGAAAUACCACCCUUUAAUGUUUGAUGUUCUAACGUGGACCCGUUACCCGGGUUGCGGACAGUGUCUGGUGGGUAGUUUGACUGGGGCGGUCUCCUCCUAAAGAGUAACGGAGGAGCACGAAGGUUGGCUAAUCCUGGUCGGACAUCAGGAGGUUAGUGCAAUGGCAUAAGCCAGCUUGACUGCGAGCGUGACGGCGCGAGCAGGUGCGAAAGCAGGUCAUAGUGAUCCGGUGGUUCUGAAUGGAAGGGCCAUCGCUCAACGGAUAAAAGGUACUCCGGGGAUAACAGGCUGAUACCGCCCAAGAGUUCAUAUCGACGGCGGUGUUUGGCACCUCGAUGUCGGCUCAUCACAUCCUGGGGCUGAAGUAGGUCCCAAGGGUAUGGCUGUUCGCCAUUUAAAGUGGUACGCGAGCUGGGUUUAGAACGUCGUGAGACAGUUCGGUCCCUAUCUGCCGUGGGCGCUGGAGAACUGAGGGGGGCUGCUCCUAGUACGAGAGGACCGGAGUGGACGCAUCACUGGUGUUCGGGUUGUCAUGCCAAUGGCACUGCCCGGUAGCUAAAUGCGGAAGAGAUAAGUGCUGAAAGCAUCUAAGCACGAAACUUGCCCCGAGAUGAGUUCUCCCUGAGACUUUAGGUCUCCUGAAGGAACGUUGAAGACGACGACGUUGAUAGGCCGGGUGUGUAAGCGCAGCGAUGCGUUGAGCUAACCGGUACUAAUGAACCGUGAGGCUUAACCUUACAACGCCG